rnacentral:rRNA from 1 species
UACGGAGGGAGCUAGCGUUGUUCGGAAUUACUGGGCGUAAAGCGCACGUAGGCGGCUAUUCAAGUCAGGGGUGAAAUCCCGGAGCUCAACUCCGGAACUGCCUCUGAAACUAGAUAGCUAGAAUCUUGGAGAGGUCAGUGGAAUUCCGAGUGUAGAGGUGAAAUUCGUAGAUAUUCGGAAGAACACCAGUGGCGAAGGCGACUGACUGGACAAGUAUUGACGCUGAGGUGCGAAAGCGUGGGGAGCAAACAGG